GAUCCUGGCUCAGGAUGAACGCUGGCGGCGUGCUUAACACAUGCAAGUCGAACGGAACUACUUUGAUGAGAUUCUUCGGAAAGGAUUUGAUUUAGUUUAGUGGCGGACGGGUGAGUAACGCGUGGGUAACCUGCCUCAUACAGGGGGAUAGCAGUUGGAAACGGCUGUUAAUACCGCAUAAGCGCACAGUACCGCAUGGUACCGUGUGAAAAACUACCGGUGGUAUGAGAUGGACCCACGUCUUAUUAG
rnacentral:rRNA from 1 species